rnacentral:misc_RNA from 1 species
AACGCACAUUGCGCCCUUUGGCAUUCCGAAGGGCAUGCCUGUUCGAGCGUCAUUAUCACCUCUCAAGCUCGGCUUGGUGUUGGACCCCCUUAGGCCCGGGCUUCGCCCCCGGCCGGUCCCAAAAGUAAUGACGGCGUCGCGUGGACUCUCGGUGCAACGAGCUUUUUUACAAAGGCACGCAACGAGUUGAAAGGCCCCGUGGCACGGUCCCAACCUACAAACUUCUUCAAGGUUGACCUCGGAUCAGGUAGGAAUACCCGCUGAACUUAA